CAUAGCUUGCAACAGUUUGUUGUAAUUCAACCAAGUUUUGAAUCACAUCAUAAAUGGUAGGUCCUCUUUCAACCAUAAUAUUUCCAGAAGUAGGAACAUGAGAAUGUACAGGAGGUACCUUAGGACGACCAUCAGAGUUAGAUGAGUUUGUGUUAGAAAAAGAUGCAUCAAAAAGAGGGCGAAGAUGGCGGCGGAGAUGGUGGUGGUUCGUCCUC
rnacentral:lncRNA from 1 species